AUAUUACUCCCUCCGUUCGGAAUUACUUGUCGCAGAAAUGGAUGUAUCUAGACGUAUUUUAGUUCUAGAUACAUCCAUUUCUGAGACAAGUAAUUCCGAACGGAGGGAGUAUGUU
rnacentral:pre_miRNA from 1 species